UCUAGAACUCGAGAUAUGGGAUGAACACUGAAAAGUGUCUAGGCUGCAGGACAGAUUCCGACUUCUCCGUUGUUGCUACCAUUUGAACUCGAAAAUGGAACUUUUAAAUCUUGAACUCUUUAUGAAAGUUUUAGGCUUAUGUCUUAGCUUUCCAUA
rfam:Populus trichocarpa scaffold_1_contig_249, whole genome shotgun sequence.